ACGCUCGACACCUACGGGAGGAGCAGUGGGGAAUAUUGCACAAUGGGGGAAACACUGAUGCAGCGACGCCGCGUGGAGGAAGAAGGUCUUCGGAUUGUAAACUCCUGUUGUUGGGGAAAAAGAGGAUGGUACCCAACAAGGAAGUGACGGCUAACUACGUGCCAGCAGCCACGGUAAUCUGAGGCGGGCUGGCAAGGC
rnacentral:rRNA from 1 species